UUUCCCACACUCACUGCACACAUAAGGCCUUGCUCCUGUGUGAACCUCCUGGUGUCUAAUGAGCUUCCACCUAUUCUUAAAACAUUUCCC